CUACAACUUCAUCUUCAAGUUCACCUUCACUUCUGAGGAGAAGGACUGAAAAACACUCUGACUCAUAGGCCACAUACCACCUCUUCUUUGGUGUGCAAUAAACCACUGAGAAGGAAAUAAACAAAUGACCUUGCCUGCUCCCAUGAGACUAACUAAGGAUCUGCAUCACCUGCUGUCUCCAAGGCCAGGGAGUGCUAAAAGCUGGAACUCCCCACAUUUAUUUAUCCCUUGGUUUUGGGCACACUUAUCUUCCAGGGAUUUUAGCUACUUCCAAUUACUCCUGCUCAAUAGUUUAAUUAGGAUUACUUACGUUAAAAUGCACAUUCUGGAUUACAUCAGCUUAGUGCCUUAGAGUAAACGUACAUACAAUACAAUCUGAAGAUGAUAAAUCAUUAUUCCAAGCUUCUACACUUGAGCCUGAAAGAGUAUUAACAUCUUCAGUGCACUAAGUCAAGACCAUAGAACUCAAACAUCAAACCAUGUGAGGAAAUCUCUGAUCUUUACAUCAAAGUGCACCAAACAGCAAAGACCCUCUUUGCAGCAGUGAACGUCAGUGAAGGUCAUGCAGUUUUCAACUUUGCUUAGAUACACAAAAGCACUGAUGUGUUGAAGAAUCUAAUGUUAGUUCCAUCUGAAACCAAAUGUAAAAGGCAUUGAGAAAGCACAUAUCUGAUAUCUAAUGACCACUACAGCUUUGCAGGAAACGCCUCCCUGCAUUAAUCCAAACUAAUGCAUGGGUUGCACACUCACUGCUCCUUAGGUGCAAGUGCAUUCAUACAGUAUCUUCACUCUACUGGUAUCUUGCUGGUUUUCUUUCCAUAAAAUGUCAGGGUUAGCCAGAUCUUGAGUUUUCCAGCUGCAGAAUCACAAAUCCACUAGCCUAAAGAAUAUAACUGCCUGCAUUACAAGACACUAAUGGACUACAGUUGAUGCUAGCUACCUCUGAAAGAAAACCCUGACUAAAAUUCCUUUCCAAGUGAGUCCCAAUAAACAUUUGGACUACCUGCUCACAUUCCAAGCAAAUCCUCUAAAAGCUUAAAAUAGAGGGAGAAAAUGGAAAAAUAACAAAACAAAAAACCAACCCACACUACUUACCACUAAAUCAGCAGAGAUGUUGAUUUCCAGGAAAAAGCUCUUAUUCUCUAUUCUCCUCUAAGAAUAGAAUCUUCCGUCAUCUCCUCUUCAGAACAAGGUGCUCCACAGAUUCCUUUAGGCUUACCUUUAUCCCUUUUCCUUGGCCUUUUAUAUAAAAGAACCCCCCUAGCUAAGAUCAUUUUUAAACACUUAGACUCUUUAGAAAGGUUUCUCCACUGUACGAGGUUAUUCCCUAAGCAUCUUAUAUAAUUCAUCUUCUCUCUAUGCCUCCUUUGAUCAAGGAUAAAACUCAGUCAUAAUAAUGUACUGAAAGGAACUGAGGUAGGAAACUGUGCUUUUCGACUGUCUGCUAAAACAUAAAAUAGACACAAAAAUAUACUCCUUCUCCUGCCCAACCAUCUUCCUGAACAGAACUGACACUACUGCAGAUCUAGACAACAAAAUGUUGAAGCAUCAUCCUUAGAUAUGCAAUCAAUAACCAGAGCUCACAAGAAAUGUACAGAUUAAAAUCUACCUAGUAGCUCUCAUUCAUUUUUAUGCCACCCCAGCUUUCCUUGCAAUCCUUAUUGCACAAAACAUUCGCACAGAAACCUAUAAAAUGAGUCUGUCUUGAUGUCAUUUAGCUGGAAAUAAGGCUAGUUAAUACUAAUCUUUAAUAGUGCAAACCACUCAUGGGCCUUUGAGCAUUCUCCAACAAAGGAUUGCAGGACAAGCAAAAAGCACACUAUGAAGAGCAGUGAUGCCUCAGAAAUAGGUCUCUGAAGAAGUCAGCAAGUAAUCACAGAUCUUGGCCCAAAAGAACAGGCCUCGUUUUCAAAGUUCUCAAGUAGGUCCUCCAAGGGCACUUCUCUCAGUGCAGAAAGAAGAGGAACAAGUGCCUAGUUGCCAAAAGUCAGUUUCUAGAAGUGAAAACAUUUCAGAGCUUACACUUAAGGUAAAUCUGACAGGCUAGAAAUUAUAAGUCUCCAAAUAUUUGCCCCAUCCAGCAGAUAUUUAAGUGAAGAACCUGAAACAUACUUCCUGGCUAGAUGGAAUUUUAAUCUGACCAAGGUUAUUUACAUUUGGCCCUAACGCUGCAAUAAUUCACUGCACCAAUUCAGCAGUAGGGAUUGCCUAACAGCCAAUUUGAACUACUUUUAUUCUUGCUUAUGCCUUCUAUAGAAGCAUCAGCUAGUAAUAGAAUACACAAGUGACAAUUUCAAACUUCACACGGAAACUUGAAUUUUUGACCUAGGAGAUGCAGCAUUUCAACUGCUCAAGAACAUUGUUCCUGCUCUUCACAGCCCUUCAUAACAGCUCUUCACAAGGAAGAAAAAUAUCUUGUUGUAUUUUAAAUAGCAAUCUUCAAGGAUCCCUUUAUCUAUUAUGUCUUUGGCAAGUUUGAGAACAUCUAUUGACUAACUGGACAAUAUGCAAAUUACCAUAGCCUAAUUAAGUAAUUCAGAAGUGGGCCCACUGACUUCAAAAUAGUUAUUUCAAAGUAAAGGAAUUUAGCAUUCUGAACUUCUGAAUACCUUUGAAAUAGGAAGCACCUAGUGAGAGAACUUCACAACACAAGCUUCUGGUAUUACCUUUAUUUCAAUCAAUCCACAUAGAAAUAAAUUGCCACAGCUUUUAAGAAACUUCUGUUUAACCAAUGGCUAGAUUGUUUAAGCGUGAUCAUUGAAGAUGUAAUCAUCUGAGUCACUGUUUCAAUUCAAGCCAAAAACAUCACUCAGUUGUCCUAUGUAAUCUUAUGUGAAGUCAAUAAUCAUCCACUCAACAGAUCAGCUCUGAUGCCUUGCACAUCCCUUGCUGGUUUCCUCUCUGUAAAAGAAAAGCUUUAUUUAAUUUGCAGUCAGCAUCAAAUACCUGAAUGAAGUGGCCUAAGAUUGAACUAUAUGAAGAAGCUACAUGACACUAACCUUAAAUCAAAGGCAUUUCUCAAUAAGUAUUACAUUUCUACAGGACAGGAUUUUCCUUGCCCAUACCAUUUAUACACAUUCCAGUUCAGGUCAAGUCUAGGAAGAAAAAACAGGUCCACUUUCCCCAGAUGUUAUUUAAUUUAGUUUGGCUGAUCUACAUAAAAUCAGUUUUAAGAAUUCUAGAUUUCCACAGAGGUUUCCAGUAGUCCAAACUGGUUUCAAGAGAUUUUUUGUUUGUUUAUUUAACUUUCAGGUAAGCAAUAAUUUAAGCUGCUUAGCUAGAGACAACACAACCCCAUCCACUCAGGUCUGAUAAGCCUUUUUAUACUACAUACCCGGAGACUUAUCAAUUCACAAGGAACUCUUGUGACUCCACAUUGUUUAUUGCCAUCUCACAAAGCAUAUUCUAGGUGGUCAAGGAGUACCAACACACUUGAGGACUCUGAAAACUGGAAAAGAUUAAUGUGAAACAGAAUUAGAUAACACGAUCAUCAGAUGACUUCUCAAAUUCUAGAAGCUUCUUUGAAUGCAAUAAAUAACUUUCUGAAACUCAUGAAAGUGGUAUUAUGGUUUCAUUAACAUGUUCCUCUCAGCGUGAUCCAAAGACAAGUUUCAGCCUCACCUCUGGGUUUGAGAGAGAACUGUUAUACCCCUCCGUACUGGCCACUUAAGACACUGACAGACUUAAGAGGGCAAAGCUAAAAAGGGGAGUAGAUCAUACUAACUUGUUUUAAGAUUAUUUGCAUUUACCAUUUACUCAAACUAGAUAACUUACUCGAAACUCAUGAAUUACUAAAAAGCAUGACUCAAAAUGGCCAAUAAAUCAUCAUACUAGGAAGCACUUACCUUCUCAAUAGAAGGUAUUAUUCAUUCCUAAGGAAUCCUGAGAACUGCUUUCAAUUUAGGUGUGAACAUCCAUUUCCAGGCUGCUCCAAUCAUGAAACUGCUAAGUGACCCCUAAACAGCACAAAUUAUUACAGUGUAAGUUUUCAGAAGUCACUUAUGAACUUCAUCAUCAAAUAUCUAGAGCAAGGUGUAGACGGUUUAAUCAGAUGGAUGAGAAUAUCCUUUCCUAAUAUGGCCAUUUAAGCUAAAUAGGACAUAUCUUCUUAAUAUCUCUGAAUACGCUGCUAAACAGGAAGCCUACAUUACUUCUAGUGCCACUACCCCAAAGUUGUGAGUUCCCAGCUUUAUGAGAAGCCUUAACUGGCUAAUUUGUUUCCACCGUGUACCUACUUGCUAUACCUUGCAACAAAUUACAGGCAGAGGAACUACUGGGAGGCACCAAAAGCUACAGUAGCAGACAGAAGAGCAGGCCGGGCCUACGGAAAACUACUGCAGAGGCAGAGCAACGACGCUCAGCGCACGACCUGCGAGACUCGAAGGGAACAGAGGAAGGCUCACGCUGAGCCGGCACGCCCCUUACCUGCCGGCAUCAGCACACGCGGCUCCAGCCCCAGCACGCCCACGGCAGCGGCCGCCCGGGGCGAGGAGCAACCAGCCGGGCACCCGGCGGGCAGAGCCACGGAAGGCAUCGGGAGGCCGUGCGGGGGCCUCGGAGCGGGUUCAGCCCAGGGUUGGAGCUGCGGAAGGAGAGAGAAGUCAGCGUGGGAGUGGGUCUUUUCUGAAGAAUGGCAAAUUACUUCCAUGGCUAUGAAGUUUGGUCGUCUCAACAAUACACAACGGUUAGAACUCAAAUGGUGCUUUUUUUUUCAGCUGAAAGCACAGUUGGUAUAGAAUUGGAGAAAAAAAGUGGGUAGAAGCUGCUGUAAAGCUGAUACCAUCUUGGAGAAGGAAGCUGGGGCUUUUAUUGGACUAAGGGACCCUCAGAGACCCCUCCACGUUUGUUUUCCAUGGUCUGCCAUGAACUUUUUAUAGACCACGACACACUUCUAUCAUUAGAACUCCGGAAGUCAAUAGAAUGUCUCCUGUGGACCUGUUAGGAAGUUCAGCCCAUGGGCUGCAAGCUGGCAUUUGGCACUGUACUAAAGCUCCCAAUCUGUUCUACAAUGGGAGCCAAGUUUCAUGGAAAAUAUCUGUUGUUAACUUUAGAAAGGGAUUAUCAUGGGAUUUUCUACUCCGUCCUCUCUUUUCGUUGGAUAUAGCAUUGGAAAGUAGAAUUGUUCAGCUUUGCAGCAGUCCCCACAUAGGUGAAUUCCUACUACUGUGACAGCCCAAAGAGCUGAUCUUUCUCACUGAAGUUAAUGAUGAGUCGUACUAAAAGCUGAAGGCAUUUUGUAGCCCAAAUAAGGUCAAAUAGUGUUGGCCUAGUGUUUAUACGACGUGUGACUGUCUUACCUUGCAGAAAAAUGGAAUGCCAAUCAUAUUUGUAUCUCAAGAAUAAAAAUUCAAGGCUGUGGGAACAAGUGUCACUGAAGUUUCCUUCUUCUCAACAGAAAUCAACUUAAAAAACAGUAGUCUCAGUAAUCCAAGUGGUUUGUUAUGUAUCUGCCCUUAGUGCUCAUGCUUCUAUCAGCAUACUUGUUCAUGCUUUUAAAUCUACAGUGAUCACUUUCGUAGAACAAAUGUUGUGAUACGUGAAGGAUUAUAAAGCG
ensembl:lncRNA